GCUUAAUUACUGCGAUAUUAAAUUCCAUUAAUUUUCAAAAACCCUUAAUUUCUAUUAAGUAAUUCUAUAAUAUUAUAGAAGAUAUUAUGUUAAAACUAGUAACAAGAAUUAAACCUUCUCUUAAAUAUAAGUGUAAAUCAGAACGGAUUCCCCGCUGACUACUAACAUCUUUGAGCAUAAAGUAAUAACCAAUCAAGAAAAACUUACUUCAUAAUAUGUUAACCUAACACAAGAGUAUUACAAGACGAUUGAAAGAAAAAGAAGGAACUCGGCAAACAAUAACCUCGCCUGUUUACCAAAAACAUCGCCUUCUGACUAACCUAUAGAAGGUCCAGCCUGCCCAGUGACUCUGUUCAACGGCCGCGGUAUCCUAACCGUGCGAAGGUAGCGUAAUCACUUGUUCUUUAAAUGAGGACUAGUAUGAAUGGCAUCACGAAGGUUAUACUGUCUCCUUUUUCUAAUCAGUGAAACUAAUCUUCCCGUGAAGAAGCGGGAAUAAAAUUAUAAGACGAGAAGACCCUAUGGAGCUUCAAACUCUCAACAACUAUCUUUUUUUAUAUAACUCUAAAGAAAAUAAUAUUCAUCUAGGUAGUAUGACUGCUAGUUUUUGGUUGGGGUGACCACGGAGUAAAAUCUAACCUCCAUGAUGAACAGGACUGGCUCCUAAACAAAGAAUUACUAUUCAAAGUAUCAAAAAAUUGACGACAUUGACCCAAUAUUUUGAUCAACGAACCAAGUUACCCUAGGGAUAACAGCGCAUCCAUCUAAGAGUUCAUAUCGACAGAUGGGUUUACGACCUCGAUGUUGGAUCAGGGUAUCCCAGUGGUGCAGCCGCUACUAAAGGUUCGUUUGUUCAACGAUUAAAACCCUACGU
rnacentral:rRNA from 1 species